CUCACCAAUUGAGAUUCGAAGAGUAAAAUUCUUGUGCUCUGUUCGUUCUCUUCCUCGCCAUGGAAAUCGACUCACAGAAGAUUCUCCAGCGCAAGCAAUGUCCCUAUGAUCUAUCGCUUGGCUACUUUGGAAUUGCGAAGAAUUUUCCUUCGCUAUUUGCUCAUUUCAUUUGCUUCACUUUUUGAGUAAACGUUGAUCGAGAAGGCUGGAAAAAUGGCGGAACUGGGAGAAAUCUCCCCGAUAUUUGUGUUUUGAUGUAGGAUGAACCGUACAAGGGCCAGUAAUACAGUCACAUUUACUUUGCUCGACUCCACUUGAUGAAAACGAUACUCAGUUCACUUGUCUCUAACUGGAAACCUCAUUUACCUGGUGAAAAUUUGUCUUGAAAACAAUGUCUUGAAGUUUGUACUGUACCGGGAUUGGAGGAAGGCAAGGAAGUGUCAUUGUUGGAACCUGAAACUUAAACCUACCAUUCUGGAUGAGUUUCCAAAGGAGCUUAACUUGAGAAAUCUUGAUUGCCAUGCUCUGAGUUUUGGGACUGAAUUCAUAUGAUGACGUGCGAUCCCACAUCGGUUGAGGGAGAACGAAAUAUUCUUUAUAAGGGUGUCGGAACUUCUCCCUAGCAGAUGUGUUUUAAAAACCUUGAGAGAAAGCAUGAAAGGAUGGUGGGCUUUGGCGGUUACAAAUGGUAUUAGAGCCAGACAUUGAGCGAUGUGCGGCUGAGCUCCGAAGGGAGGUGGACACAAGGCGGUGUGCCAGCAAAGACGCUGGGCUCCGAAGGGGGGUAGAUUGGAUGGUUCCACAUCGAUUGGAGAAGGGAACGAGUGUCAACAAGGACGCUAGGGCCUGAAGUGAGGUGGAUUGUGAGAUCCCAUAUCAGUUGAGGAGGAGAACAAAACAUUUCUCCCAAGCAGAUGCGUUUUAAAAAUCUCGAGAGAAAGCUUGAAAGGCAAAGUAAAAAAGGAUAAUAUCUGCUAGUGAGCUUGGGCUAUUACAAAUCAUUAUGACACAGAAACGUUAAAGAGGUGAAAAAUCUAGUGUCAUCUUUUUUAAGUCGCUUUUGCAAGGGCUGAGAAUCAAAAAUUUACCUGCUUCUAAGAAAAUGAGGAUUCAUAAAGUAAUGUGCCCUCUAAUGAAAAAUCUAGUGAAAUGCAGGAUCAUCUCCAUUUUCUCAACCGUAAACAUUUUUUUGGGGGGGAGAAUCACCUUGGAGAGAGCAAAUCAAGAGAAAGUGGUGAUGGGUGAGUGAGACUGGCCAUGCUCCAAACAUACUAGCUGGCUUUGGUAGGCCCUCCCCAACAGUAUAGGAAUUCUAGAAUGACGAGUGUCUGAAUUUGGCUGGCAUUGUUGGGCUCAGAUUUGUAUGUGCCAUAAAACUUCACAUACUUUCUAUUUUUGCGCUGAAAACUUCCUGAUAUAAAUAAUUAUUAGUGUUGUUGGAUCUUACAUUAAAUUUAAAGGAUCCUGACGUUUUUAGGUGUGAUAUGGGUGGAGCAUGGACGAAACCGAACUGCUUUGGAAUUUCACGAACUGGGGGCACCCUUCAUCAGGCCGACUAGGUGAGUUUGUGCUUUGUCGAGCCUUUUUACCUUAUUUUCAACUCACACACUAGAUCUAGAUGAACACAAAGAAGAGAAGA